UACGUAGGGUGCGAGCGUUGUCCGGAAUCAUUGGGCGUAAAGAGCGUGUAGGCGCCAGACAGGUCCGUUGUGAAAACUCGAGGCUCAACCUCGAGACGCCGAUGGAAACCGUCUGGCUAGAGUCCGGAAGAGGCGAGUGGAAUUCCUGGUGUAGCGGUGAAAUGCGCAGAUAUCAGGAGGAACACCAAUGGCGAAGGCAGCUCGCUGGGACGGUACUGACGCUGAGACGCGAAAGCGUGGGGAGCAAACAGG
rnacentral:rRNA from 1 species